GAAAUCUCAACUUGAAGACAGUUACAGAGUAGCAACUGAGAAUGCCAAAAAGACAGCCAAUCGCAACAAGGCAAGGUUUGAUAAGUAUGUUGUUGACUCCAGCUUGAAAGAAGGCGACAGAGUCUUGGUUCGAAAUGUCCGACUCAGAGGCAAACACAAGUUAGCUGACAAGUGGGAAUCCGACGUGUAUGUUGUCCUGAGACAGUCCGGAGACGUCCCAGUAUAUGUUGUGAAGCCCGAGACAAGAGAUGGUCCACAAAGAACUCUUCAUCGUGACCUCCUGUUGCCAUGUGGUUUUCUUCCUGUGACUCCUGUUGAAAGCGAAACUAACCCACCAAAGGCAGUAAGGGGCCCAAAAACUCGACAACAUUCUGAAAAUGACACAUCAAAUGGAGCUGAUGGGAAUGAAUCCCAAUCUGAUUCUGAGGAAUAUCAUUAUCAAAGAAACCUAACAGUAGAAACACUAGGUUUCGUCUCAACUUCCGAACCUAUGGAAUACUUGCCUGAAAGGAUUGAACCCGAACCUGACUUGCCUGCUGUUGUGCAAGAUCCUUCAGACGUAGCCAAAGCUUUCCCCGAGGACGCUCCAGUAGAAACUUAUGACCUAAACUUACCUGAUUUUGGAAAAGAUGACUCAAUUACCCCUGAGGAGAGAAACUCAAUCGCUGAACAGGAAAUUAGAAACCUACCUGAGAAAGAUGUGGAUAACGUCCAUCCUUCUACUGAACCUGGUCAGGCGAGCAAAGAAAACACAAGUGAUCUGAGUCAAGUGAACCAUCAGACCGAAAGAGACUGUUCAGGAAGACCUGUUAGAGACAGAAAACCGAUUAAGAGACUGACUUAUCCUGAGCUAGGAAAUCCGUUGGUGACAGUAGUUCAGUCUUUAUUUCACACCUUGAGUGAUGUGUUUACAGACUCCCUUGAAAAACCUAGCUUUCCAAAAACCCCUAGAGUUAUGGCAGUGUAAUUUUAAAAAUGCACAGGGACGUGCAUUAGGUAAAGAGGGGAGGAUGUAACCCACAUUAAAAUCUGAUAUAAAUAGUUGAUUAAAUACCUGUAGACAGAAAAUAACGUCACUGCCCCUUUAAGGAACUAGCGUUACAGACGCUGCGUCUGUAACGCAGCACACAGCCCGGAGGGAGAGAACAGAGGAGGAAUCAGAGGAACGCGCAGUGAUUAGUUAACAACAAAAGUUAACAUUAUAUUUGAAAACCAUAAUCUAUCCGGUCGGGAACUGACGGGAAUUUUAUGAGCGCUAAACUAAAUCGGUUUUGGUCAGUUUUUUUGCUUGGUUGGAAGCUCGGUCGGAGUCAGGAUUUGUCUACCGUGUGCGGCGUGCACAUUCAUGGACGGGAUUCACGGACGGGAUUCAGGAUGGCGAGCCAGACCCAGACAUUCAAUUCACCUUCUCCAUCACAUUAAGGAAGGACUCUCCUGCGUGUGGUAAUUCGCUGCCAGGACGAACUGAACCGAACUGAACAGAACUGAUAAUUUAUUGAAUUAUUAUUUUUUGUUGGAUCGAGUCAACUAAGAUUUUUUUCAUCGAACUGAAUAGCUGAUUUCAUAUUCGGGUUGUACUCGAAUUUAAAGUGAUAUACUUUGGUUUCUAUAUGUUAUAUCUUUGAGUAUGAUUUGAACAAUUGUAAUUUAUUUUGAUUUGAUUGUGUUUGAGGUAUUUUCUCACCUGUAAAAGAAAGAAAACGAGUUAACUCAGAAAAAAUAGGGAUCUCAAAAUAGAUACAACAUAGGAAAUAAAAGAGACUGGUCUAACUAAUUCAAAUUAGACUGUCUAAAAUAACAUAGGAGAACAAAGAUCAGUCUAAUUAAAUUAGAUUAGUCUUAUUAAAAUGAACUAGGUGAACUAAAGAGUGAAAAGAAAAGGUGAUAUACUCUUUAUUUACUUCUUUUUUUCCCUUUUCAUUUUUAUUUGCUUCCUUAUUAAGAACCUGCAAUAUAUUUAUUUAUUUAUUUACUUAAUUAGUUAUGGUAUCUUAUUUGUGUGUUUUAUAUUCAGUAAAUUGCCGGCUUGUUUCACUUAAA